ACGUUCGCUUACGAUCACUGAAGUUAAGCAACGUUGAGCCUGGUCAGUACUUAGAUGGGUGACUACUUGGGAAUACCAGGUGCUGCAAGC